UUGGUCCUGGUGGCGGCUGCAGGGCUGAGUCAGGGCUCCUCUGGGCGCCUCCACAAGAACUUCCUAGCCAGAGGCGUCACUGCCGCCAUCUCCGAGACAGGCAUGGCCUGGAUGGAGCGGGUCAAGCUGCUGUAGCAGGUGCAGCAUGCCAGCCAGCAGAGCACCGCCGACAAGCAGUACAAGGGCAUCAUGGACUGCAUCGUGCGCAUCCCCAAGGAGCAGGGCGUGCUGUCCUUCUGGGGGGGCAACAUUGCCAGUGUCAUCCGCUACUUCCCCACCCAAGCCCUCAACUUCACCUUCAAGGAUAAGUAUAAGCAGGUCUUCCCGGGAGGGCGCAGACAGCACACCCAGUUCUGGAGGCACUUCACGGGCAAUCUGGCCUUGGCGGGGCCACUUCGCGCAGGCCUCGACCCGGCUGGCAGCCGACGUGGGGAAAUCAGGUGAAUCAGGCACUGAGCACCAGUUCAAGGGCCUGAGACCCUGCCUGGUGCAGAUCACCAAGUCGGACGGCAUCCGGGGCAUGUACCAGGGUUUCAGCGUCUCUGUGCAAGGCAUGAUCAUCUACCGGGCAGCCUACUUCAAGGUGUACGACACGGCCAAAGGCAUGCUUCCUGAGCCCAAGAACACCCAUAUCUCAUCAGCUGGAUGAUUGCCCAGUCGGUGACGGCCGUGGUGUCCUACCCUUUUGACACCGUACAGCGAUGGGUGAUGAUGCAGUCGGGGCUCGAAGGAGCCGACAUCCUGUACACGGGCACCAUCCACUGCUGACAGAAGAUCUUCAAGGACGAGGGCAGCAAGGCAUUCUUCAAGGGCUCCUGGUCCAACGUCCUGAGGGGCAUGGGCAGGGCCUUGGUGCUGGUCUUGUAGGAGGAGCUGAAGAAGGUCAUCUAGGCGCCCCGCCUGCCCCGACACGGGACCCCAGGGCCACGGAGGCCUCUCACGGUUACCGACCAUUGACCUUCCAGAAAUUCCAGACACGGAGAAAAAAAAAAAAAGAACCUCUGAUUUCUUUCUGCAAAGGGUAUUUGAAUGCGUGUGUUCCUAUCAGCAUAAUGUGAGGAGGUGGGAGGCUGGGCUAUCCCUGCCCGCCACAUCCCCUCCCCAGCCUUUCCUGUCCAGUAGAGGUGGGGCAAGGCCCUCCCCAUUCCUGUUUUUACUUCCUGGUGUGCUCAGCUGCAGCUUCUUACUGCCUGAUUGAAAUAAGAGUCUGGAUAUGC